UCAGAGCACAGGGGAAGGUGUCAGGAGGUGGACGGGGGCCAAGACUCCGAGUGCUCACCUCCGUGGUCAGGGCCAGGGCUCCUCUACAGCUCUCGAUGACCACAAUUGUUCUGUUUCCACGCACUAAGGGGGAAGGGGUAGGCAGGCAGAGGAAGUGAAGCAGGAGCCCAGUAAGAUUCCUGAAAAGCAGAUAGAACCAGAAUUCCUCUGGAGGUGAAGAAUCUGUUCAGAGGAACAACAUGGCUGUUAGCUUCGGAAAGAAGAGGGGAGCCCGAAAGCUGAUGCAGCUGGAACAGCUGGAACCCGGGAACUGGGAACUGUCUUCACAUCAUGGUACUUGACGCUCCGGAAGNUGGAAGGGGAUGACUGUGAUCUAUCCUCUGAGAUGGUAGACAAAGCAAUGGAAUAAGACUCAAAAUGGACGUCUCUUUGCGCUCCCUGACUUGCCCUUGAUGACGUGACACUGCUGGUAAUUGCAUCAUUUAGUGGAAUGCUUCUGUUGAUGUGUUCUGUGUGGAGUUAUUCUGGAAAAUGUAUUGUAAACCCUA
rnacentral:lncRNA from 1 species